rnacentral:rRNA from 1 species
CCUACGGGUGGCAGCAGUGGGGAAUAUUGCGCAAUGGGCGAAAGCCUGACGCAGCGACGCCGCGUGAGGGAUGAAGGUCUUCGGAUCGGAAACCUCUGUCAGCAGGGAAGAACGGUCACGGGGCUAAGCAGCAGUGAAUUGACGGUACCUGCAAAGGAAGCACCGGCUAACUCCGUGCCAGCAGCCGCGGUAAUACGGAGGGUGCGAGCGUUAAUCGGAAUUACUGGGCGGAAAGCGCUCGUAGGCGGUAUGUCAAGUCAAGGGUGAAAUCCCCGCGCUCAACGUGGGAACUGCCUUUGACACUGGCAACCUGGAGUGUGUGAGAGGCUAGUGGACUUCCAGGUGUAGGCGU